AGAUCAUCGAUUGCAGUGCCGAGUUAAAUGAAAAAUGCAGAAAGCUUACAGAAAGGAUCAAGGUCGAAAUUGAUAGGGGAUAUGUGAACUGAGUGCUGGAUGGCUCGUUGGAUGAGCAUUUCAUUGGAUGAGCAUUUCUGCCUGCGCAACAAGCUAUCCGGGCUGCCUUUUUUCCCCACUUUCUAGGCGCGGCGCCCUCUCCGCCUCGUGCAUUCCUGUGAACUGACUGCUGGAUGGCUUGUUGGACACACAUUUCUUCCUGUAAAAGCAACUACUACCGUCAGCCUUCUUCCACUUUUCAGAAAAAUGGCCUCAAGCAGACACUACAAGUCUUCAGUGUCAUUGCACAAGUUGCAUCGGAGGGUCAAAUGGAGAAACAGUUAUUAUAGAGUAUGCGCUCUUCUUCAGUUUUCUUCCCUUGCUAUGGCCUAUCGUAUUGGCAUAUGGAAAAAUGGACUUACGCAGGCACGCACGCAGCUGGUAAAUUGGAAGCUCCACUCCCGGUAUGUGAUGAACAGACCAACGCGGUGCGAGCUUUGAGUUCAACUGAUCCACAUCUCGUCGACGUCGUGCCAGGAAGCUUGCAGAUAACUUGAGUGCUCAUUUGUGCAAGAAUUCAACAAUGUAUUGGUGGCUUGGUGGUGCUAGCUAUUGCAGAGUUUUUCUUUUUUACACCCUUUCCUUGUUAUUAGAUAUUGCUAUAAUUGUGCUCUAAUUGUGCUUUCCAUGUAUAGGAUUAUUCUUUUCCAUGUAUACACAAGCUCAUUGGCUAUAUAAUAUCAAUGUCACCCCACUUCAUUUGGUGUA